rnacentral:rRNA from 1 species
UACGGGGGGGGCAAGCGUUGUUCGGAAUUACUGGGCGUAAAGGGCUCGUAGGUGGCCAACUAAGUCAGACGUGAAAUCCCUCGGCUUAACCGAGGAACUGCCUGCCAGACUGCAAGGCUCGAGACCGGGAGAGGUGAGUGGAAUUCCCAGUGUAGCGGUGAAAUGCGUAGAUAUUGGGAGGAACACCAGUGGCGAAGGCGGCUCACUGGACCGGAACUGACGCUGAGGCGCGAAAGCGUGGGGAGCAAACAGG